CAGGAGGGCAGGUCUGCUAGGGGGGCAGGAGGACAGGUCUGCUCGGUUGCUAGGGGGACAGUGACAGGUCUGCUAGGGGGACAGUGACAGGUCUGCUAGGUUGCUAGGGGGACAGGAGGACAGUGACAGGUCUGCUAGGUUGCUAGGGGGACAGGAGGACAGUGACAGGUCUGCUAGGGGGACAGGAGGACAGUGACAUGUCUGCUCGGUUGCUAGGGGGACAGGAGGACAGUGACAGGUCUGCUAGGUUGCUAGGGGGACAGGAGGACAGUGACAGGUCUGCUAGGUUGGUAGGGGGACAGGAGGACAGUGACAUGUCUGCUCGGUUGCUAGGGGGACAGUAACAGGUCUGCUAGGUUGCUAGGGGGACAGUGACAGUUCUGCUAGGGGGACAGUGACAGGUCUGCUAGGUUGCUAGGGGGACAGGAGGACAGUGACAGGUCUGCUAGGUUGCUAGGGGACAGGAGGACAGUGACAGGUCUGCUAGGUUGCUAGGGGGACAGGAGGACAGUGACAUGUCUGCUAGGUUGCUAGGGGGACAGUGACAGGUCUGCUAGGUUGCUAGGGGGACAGUGACAGGUCUGCUAGGUUGCUAGGGGGACAGUGACAGUUCUGCUAGGGGGACAGUGACAGUUCUGCUAGGGGGACAGUGACAGUUCUGCUAGGGGGACAGUGACAGGUCUGCUAGGUUGCUAGGGGGACAGUGACAGGUCUGCUAGGG